GAUCCUGGCUCGGGAUGAACGCUGGCGGCGUGCUUAACACAUGCAAGUCGAACGAAGCGCUUAAAUGGAUUUCUUCGGAUUGAAGUUUUUGUGACUGAGUGGCGGACGGGUGAGUAACGCGUGGGUAACCUGCCUCAUACAGGGGGAGUAACAGUUAGAAAUGACUGCUAAUACCGCAUAAGCGCACAGUGCUGCAUGGCACAGUGUGAAAAACUACCGGUGGUAUGAGAUGGACCCGCG
rnacentral:rRNA from 1 species